CCCUUAAAUUACACCUUCAUCGCCAGGGAACUACGAGCCAAGCUUAAAACCCAAAGGACUUGACGGUACCCCAUAUCCCCCUAGAGGAGCCUGUCCUAUAAUCGAUACCCCCCGCUUAACCUCACCAUUUUUUGCUAAUCAGCCUGUAUACCUCCGUCGUCAGCUUACCACGUGAGCGUCAGUGAGCUCAAUGUUUAUUCAACUAUACGUUAGGUCAAGGUGCAACUUAUACUAUGGAAAGAGAUGGGCUACAUUUUCUAAUUUAGACUACACGAAAGACUGCUAAUGAAAACCAGUCAGAAGGAGGAUUUAGAAGUAAAAGGAAACUAGAGAGUUCCUUUAAAUCCGGCACUGGGGUGCGUACACACCGC
rnacentral:rRNA from 1 species